UAACACGUGGGUAACCUGCCCAUAAAACUGGGAUAACUCCGGGAAACCGGGGCUAAUACCGGAUAACAUUUUGAACCGCAGGGUUCGAAAUUGAAAGGCGGCUUCGGCUGUCACUUAUGGAUGGACCCGCGUCCCAUUAGCUAGUUGGUGAGGUAACGGCUCACCAAGGCAACGAUGCGUACCCAACCUGAGAGGGUGAUCGGCCACACUGGGACUGAAACACGGCCCAAACUCCUACGGGAGGCAGCAGUAGGGAAUCUUCCGCAAUGGACAAAAGUCUGACGGAGCACCGCCCCGGGAGUGAUGAAGGCUUUCGGGUCGUAAAACUCUGUUGUUAGGGAAAAACAAGUGCUAGUUGAAUAAGCUGGCACCUUGACGGUACCUAACCAGAAAGCCACGGCUAACUACUUGCCAGCAGCCGCGGUAAUACGUAGGUGGCAAGCGUUAUCCGGAAUUAUUGGGCGUAAAGCGCGCGCAGGUGGUUUCUUAAUUCUGAUGUGAAAGCCCACGGCUCACCCGUGAAGGGUCAUUGGAAACUGGGAGACUUGAGUGCAGAAGAGGAAAGUGGAAUUCCAUGUGUAGCGGUGAAAUGCGUAGAGAUAUGGAGGAACACCAUUGGCGAAGGCGACUUUCUGGUCUGUAACUGACACUGAGGCGCGAAAGCGUGGGGGAGCAAACAGGAUUAGAUACCCUGGUAGUCCACGCCGUAAACGAUGAGUGCUAAGUGU
rnacentral:rRNA from 1 species